GGAAAGUCAUGGAUCUCCGGUGCGCUAGGUCAUCAGAAGUCACCCCCAAACUGGAAAAUUUUUUUUCUUGGACUCCAGCAAAUCACAGAAAACAAGAAUCUCUCAGUUUGUGUUUACGAGAAGAUUGUCGGUUUUACUCCAGCUGAAGGUGAAAAGAAUGUCACCCUCCUCUCAGCCGAGCGGAGCCCACAGCAUUUGCUGAAGUUGCCGGGCUGGAGGACCACCUGGAGGAUCCUCGUCUUUCCAACCCACUGGACCUCUGCUCAGUCCAGCUUGCCCAAGCUGAACCUGAGAAGCAGAUGAAUUUCCCAGCUGCCAUCUUGAC
rnacentral:lncRNA from 1 species